rnacentral:rRNA from 1 species
GACGUAGGGCGCGAGCGUUGUCCGGAUUUAUUGGGCGUAAAGAGCUCGUAGGCGGUUUGUCGCGUCUGCUGUGAAAAUCCGGGGCUCAACCCCGGACUUGCAGUGGGUACGGGCAGACUGGAGUGUGGUAGGGGAGACUGGAAUUCCUGGUGUAGCGGUGGAAUGCGCAGAUAUCAGGAGGAACACCGAUGGCGAAGGCAGGUCUCUGGGCCACUACUGACGCUGAGAAGCGAAAGCAUGGGGAGCGAACAGG